rnacentral:rRNA from 1 species
GAUGAACGCUGGCGGCGUGCCUAAUACAUGCAAGUAGAACGCUGAAGCUUGGUGCUUGCACCGAGCGGAUGAGUUGCGAACGGGUGAGUAACGCGUAGGUAACCUGCCUCUUAGCGGGGGAUAACUAUUGGAAACGAUAGCUAAUACCGCAUAAAAGACGAUAUCGCAUGAUAUUGAUUUGAAAGGUGCAAAUGCAUCACUAAGAGAUGGACCUGCGUUGUAUUAGCUAGUUGGUGAGGUAACGGCUCACCAAGGCAACGAUACAUAGCCGACCUGAGAGGGUGAUCGGCCACACUGGGACUGAGACACGGCCCAGACUCCUACGGGAGGCAGCAGUAGGGAAUCUUCGGCAAUGGGGGCAACCCUGACCGAGCAACGCCGCGUGAGUGAAGAAGGUUUUCGGAUCGUAAAGCUCUGUUGUAAGAGAAGAACGAGUGUGAGAGUGGAAAGUUCACACUGUGACGGUAACUUACCAGAAAGGGACGGCUAACUACGUGCCAGCAGCCGCGGUAAUACGUAGGUCCCGAGCGUUAUCCGGAUUUAUUGGGCGUAAAGCGAGCGCAGGCGGUUAGAUAAGUCUGAAGUUAAAGGCUGUGGCUUAACCAUAGUACGCUUUGGAAACUGUUUAACUUGAGUGCAGAAGGGGAGAGUGGAAUUCCAUGUGUAGCGGUGAAAUGCGUAGAUAUAUGGAGGAACACCGGUGGCGAAAGCGGCUCUCUGGUCUGUAACUGACGCUGAGGCUCGAAAGCGUGGGGAGCAAACAGG